UACUGCCCCACCCAUCUCUCUCAAAUAAGAGUGGUGGCACUCCUGGCUAAGCACACAUGACAGGACACAAGGACCUGGCUUCAAGCCCCUGGUCCCCACCUGCAGGGGGAAUGCUUCACGAGUGUUGUAGCAGGGCUGUGGGUGACUCUCUGUCUCUCUUCUCUUGACUUCUGGCUGUCUCUAUCCAAUAAAUAAGUAAAGAUAAUAAAGAAAUAACAAGUGAGCUACUUGUUGUAGGCAGCAGUCACUGAAGUGCCACGGUCCCUCCACACUGUGUGGGAACCACUCCUCUCUGCUGCCCACGCCCUGCCUUGAGUUCUGAAGGCUGAACCCAAGAGCUGGGAUUUGCCUGCUCUCCCUCUGUGCUUCCUUCAUGUCCCAGACAAGAAGGAGUGAGACAAGCCAAUAUUCAUUCCACCCUUUCUGAGCUGUUUUGCAUAGGGUCACACUCUCCAGCACCAUCUAUGCUGCGAGAAAUGACAGGACUUCGUCUUCUCUUGUAUCCAGUGUCCGUGGUGCACAUGAGCUCAGUCUGGUCCAGUCACGUAGCCUUGCCGGGCGAGGGCUCCUUUCAUCCUCAGGCCGUCAUGAAGGGUGCCGUGGAGAAGAACAGAGGAAUAUGCAUGUCCUUUCACGUUAGUCUCUGUAUGCUCUGGAUAGACACCGAGGAGUGAAAUCAUUGCAUUGGGGUUGAAUCUAUUUUCAGCUUCCCGAGAAGCCUCCACACUGAGUUUCCACACCAUGGGGACCACUGGCGUUGUCACCAGCAGCCUUGCCUUGCCUGUGACUUGCUUCUGGUCUCUGUGAGCUGGGCCGUUCUCUCAGGUCUGAGGUCACGGCUUGCGUGGUUUUGCUUUGCAUUUCCCUGGUAGUAGGUGGUGAAGAGUUUUGUCAGGGGCCUGUGGGCCAUGUGCCUGUCAUCUCCGGGCAAGUGUCUGUGCAGCUCUUGUGCUCAGGCCGAACCAUUGUCCAUGCCUGCUUGGGGGACAGAGGGACUGAGUGAAAACAGCACUGAACACUGUGUGUGUGUGUGUGUGUGUGUGUGUGUGUGUGUGUGUGUGUGUGUGUGUGUGUGUGUGUGUGUGUGUGUGACUCACUGUGUGUAUGUGACCGUGUGAGUGAAUGAGUGUGUGACUGUGAGUGUGUGUGUGAAUGAGUGCGUGACUGUGUGUGUGAGUAUGAGUGGCUGUGUGUUUGUGUGAGUGUGUGUGUGAGUCUGAUGUGAGUGUGUGUGUGUGUGAAUGAGUGAGUGCAUAACUGUGUGAGUAUGAGUGGCUGUGUGUUUGUGAAAUUGUGUGUAUAUGACCGUGUAAGUGAAUGAGUGUGUGAGUAUGAGUGGCUGUGUGUUUGUGAAAUUGUGUGUAUAUGACCGUGUAAGUGAAUGAGUGUGUGAGUAUGAGUGGCUGUGUGUUUGUGAGUGAGUGUGUGUG